UGCGAAAUGGCUCAUUAAAUCAGCUAUGGUUUAUUGGAUCGUACCCGUUAAAUGGAUAACUGUAAUAACUCUAGAGCUAAUACAUGCCUCGAUGCCCUGACCCUCACGGGGAUGGGUGCACUUAUUAGAUCAGAAGCCAACCGUGUUCAGUCGUGGCAACAUGGCUGAGCGCGUUGACCUUCUGGUGACUCUGGAUAAUUGUUACAGAUCGCAGUCGGCCUUGAGUCGGCGACGGGUCCUUCAAAUGUCUGCCCUAUCAACUUUCGAUGGUAGGUGACCUGCCUACCAUGGUGAUAACGGGUAACGGGGAAUCAGGGUUCGAUUCCGGAGAGGGAGCCUGAGAAACGGCUACCACUUCCAAGGGAGGCAGCAGGCGCGCAAAUUACCCACUCCCAGUACGGGGAGGUGGUGACGAAAAAUACCGAUGCGGGACUCCUUCAAGAGGCUCCGUAAUCGGAAUGAGUGGACUAUAAAUCCUUUCACGAGGAUCAAUUGGAGGGCAAGUCUGGUGCCAGCAGCCGCGGUAACUCCAGCUCCAAUAGCGUAUAUUAAAGUUGCUGCAGUUAAAAAGCUCGUAGUUGGAUCUCGGUAGCACUGUUGCCUGUUGGUCUUUGGGUGGAUGGUUGCCGUAGCUAUCGUCGUUGUCGUUAGUGGUGCAUGGGUGUAGCCUGUGUUACUGCAGAUGCGGCGUUGGCUGCGGCGGCAGCUGUGCAUUCCAAGCUAGCGGGGUAGCGGUGUGACCUGUAAGCCAUGUCUGUGGUGAAAGUCACAGGUGUGAGCGAGUGUCGGGCGACGUCCUGCGGUAGUGGGGCUUGUCGGCUCGUUUGCAUGCCUCUGGAUGCCCUUAAAAAGGUGUCUGUGGGCGGAUGGCACGUUUACUUUGAACAAAUUUGAGUGCUCAAAUCAGGCCGAUGUUGCCUGAAAAGUUUUGCAUGGAAUAAUGGAAUAGGACUUCGGUUCUAUUUCGUUGGUUUUCGGAUCCGAAGUAAUGAUCAAAAGAGACAGGCGGGGGCGUUUGUAUGGCUGCGCUAGAGGUGAAAUUCAUGGACCGUAGCCAGACAAACUAAAGCGAAAGCAUUCGUCAAGCAUGUUUUCAUUGGCCAUGAGCGAAAGUCAGAGGCUCGAAGACGAUCAGAUACCGUCCUAGUUCUGACCAUAAACGAUGCCAACUGACGAUCCGUGGUGGUAGUCUGUCAACCUUCCCCACGGGCAGUCCCCGGGAAACCUUUAAGUCUUUGGGUUCCGGGGGAAGUAUGGUUGCAAAGCUGAAACUUAAAGGAAUUGACGGAAGGGCACCACCAGGAGUGGAGCCUGCGGCUUAAUUUGACUCAACACGGGAAAACUCACCCGGGCCGGACACUAUGAGGAUUGACAGAUUGAUAGCUCUUUCUUGAUUUGGUGGUUGGUGGUGCAUGGCCGUUCUUAGUUGGUGGAGCGAUUUGUCUGGUUAAUUCCGAUAACGAACGAGACUCCAGCCUGCUAAUUAGUGCGUUUGUCCACUGCACCUGUGUAGGCGGCGUCCGGUAUAGCUGCUCCUGUAUGCUAUCCUGGUGUGUAGCGUUGCUGUCGUUGUCGUCUUUGUCGUCAUUGCCGUUGUUGCUUAAGCUGCUGUCGCCGGGGCAGCUGGCACUGUCGGUUCGCCGAUGGUGGUGGUAGUCUUGGCGCUGGUGGUGGUAGCGCUGGUUUUGGCGGUGGCGUUGGCGGCAGUUGCGUUGUCAGGGUGGUUUGGGAUGUGGCUGGUCCGGCGUUAGCUUCCGGGUACGGCGCGAAUGCCUACUUCUUAGAGGGACAAGCGGGAGAAGCCGCACGAAAUAGAGCAAUAACAGGUCUGUGAUGCCCUUAGAUGUCCGGGGCCGCACGCGCGCUACAAUGACGGUGGCAACGAGUCAGACCUUCUGGCCCGAAAGGGUUGGACAAACUGGUCAAUCACCGUCAUGACAGGGAUCGGGGCUUGGAAUUGUUCCCCGUGAACGAGGAAUUCCUAGUAAGUGCAAGUCAUAAGCUUGCGCUGAUUACGUCCCUGCCCUUUGUACACACCGCCCGUCGCUACUACCGAUUGAAUGGUUUAGUAAGGUCCUUGGAUUGGUGCCAUUGUGGUGGUUGUCGCCGCCGAAAGGUGGUGGCCCGCCGACAGGUGCCGAGAAGACGACCGAACUUGAUCAUUUAGAGGAAGUAAAAGUCGUAACAAGA
rnacentral:rRNA from 1 species